rnacentral:rRNA from 1 species
AUACUGGACAAUGUGCGAAAGCCUGAACCAGCCAUGCCGCGUGAGUGAAGAAGGUCUUCGGAUUGUAAAGCACAUUAAGUUGGGAAGAAUGGCAGUAAGUUAAUACAUUGUCGAUUUGACGGUACUGACAGAAUAAGCACCAGCUAACUCCGUGCCAGCAGCCGCGGUAAUACGAAGGGUGCAAGCGUAAAUCAGAAUUAAUGGGCGUAAAACGCGCGUAGGUGGUUUGUUAAGUUGGAAGUGAAAGCCCCGGGCUCAACCUGGGAACUGCUUUCAAAACUGGCAAGCUAGAGUAUGGCAGAGGGUGGUGGAAUUUCCUGUGUAGCGGUGAAAUGCGUAGAUAUAGGAAGGAACACCAGUGGCGAAGGCGACCACCUGGGCUAAUACUGACACUGAGGUGCGAAAGCGUGGGGAGCAAGCA